CCUGUGGGCUGUGGCCCAUAAAACAUAAAACUCACCUUCUUCCCUCGUAGUCCUCUACUUCUUCCCCAAAAAUAAGUAACCAUCUUCUUUAAAAAAAAUCAAAAACCCUUUUCUUCCUCUCCGAGUUAACCUAAGAUCCUCUUCAUUAUUCUUUUCGUCGAGCUCAAAAAUCUUAUUAUUAUCGUUGAACUCAGCCUCUACUCACAACCGUAGUAUCGAUUGAACUCCGAAAUCCUAAAGUUGAAGAGAAACCCUAGAAAAUGCCUGAAUCCCAAAUUCAGAAAUCCACGUAUAUUUUACCAGAAAUCCAUCGAUGUCGUAGUAUCGAUUGAACUCCGAAAUCCUAAAAUUGGAGAGAAACCCUAGAAAAUGCCUGAAUCCCAAAUUCAGAAAUCCACGUAUUUGUUACUAGAAAUCUGUUGAAACCGUAAAUAUGUUCCGUGUCCAAGAUUUAUUUCACGAAAACAGAGGAAGCAUUUGAAAAUGGAAGUCAUGUACUAGUAGCCGAUGCUCAUAUUAUAGACACGCAAGGACAUGUAGCAAUGAGACUUUCCAAACCAAGGAGCUAGGUUGAUACUGCUCUUAAACUGCUAAAAUGAAAUAUCCUACUCUGUUUACACUAAUUGACCCCAUUAUUCACAACCUAUGUAAUGCAGGUAGUUCUAUAAGAUCCUCCUCUUCACCAUCACUAAAAUUCCAAUCAUGGCAAGGUCUACACCUCUUGUGACAAAGGUUACCAAUAGGCUGUGUGGACUUUGUAUGAGGUUCUGUAAGAGAGAUGAUAGUAGUAUACGCGAGGCUCAAGUUAUGAUUUAAAUCUAAAUAAAAUGAAUAAACCGGGAUGAAAAGUUGAUUAUCAUAUUUAUUGUCUUCUAAUAUAGUGUCUAUAAUAGUCUUGAUGGACACUUGGUUGUUAAUUUCAUUACUUGUUGAUAUGGUGCCUACAACCUUAAUGGAUGGUUUAUCACUAGGCUACUGGUUGGUUGGUGAAGUGUUGACGGGUUUGACGAGAAUUCUAUUAAUAAUUUUUCUUGUAGGUGUAGGAAUGUCCGCAGUCAUAGGAAGAUGAUAAUUAGGUUGACUCGUGGUUUCUAAAGUGUAUACAGGCUUGGUGGGAAGUUUGAUAAUAUCUUUGCUUGUAGUCGUUGCAGUGUCUACAACCAUAAAGGAAAAUUGAUUACUAGGUUGACUGGGGGCUGUUGAAGUUUCAAUAGUGAUGGGAAGUCCCAUAACAUCUUUUCUUGUAGUUGUUGUGAUGUCUACAAUUAUUGGAAGAUAAUUACCGGCCAGUUCACUGGUUGUUGAUAUAGUGUCAAUAACUUGAUUAGCUAUCGGUGCAUCAUCGAAAGUAACCCAUUUUUUUGUUAAUAUAUGUGUUUAAAAAGACAUUUCAAAAUUUUAUUUUUCUAAAUUUGGUACAAUCUUUUUAUGAGGGGAUUAAUUAAUCAUGGGUUUGAUUUUAUUGGUUGUAUGGAUUUUUUUUAAUGUUGUUAUUAAUUGGUAUUUGAUUAAUGUAGGUGUAGACUAAGUGGAAUUUAAAAAUUCAAUAGCUAUCAAUGGUGUUAGUGGACAUCAUGGAGAUUGCAUGUGUGGUACCUACAAUAAUUUUAUAAUUUUAUGUGGCUACAUUUUGUGUGAUUAACAUGUAACUAUUUGGACCAAGGAUCAAUAGCUAUCAAUGGUGUUAAUGGACGUACAUCAUGGAGAUUGCAUGUGUGGUACCUACAAUUUUGGUUGUGAGGAAUACAGUAAGAUUGGCUCUAAUCAAAAUAUUUAUAAAGGAGAAACUAUAACUUGGAAGGGGAAGCCAUUGUUUACUGGAAAUAGUAUCCAAACUACUAUAUACUUUUGCUCUUAUCAAUCUUCUUUUUCUUUAGACUUAGCCUCUUGAUUUUCUUAGUGUGGCAAUUUACACGGGGAUCCGACUAAUUGGGAUUUGUAACCCAUCCAUCUCUCUUCAACUAAGAAAUUGUAAAAUUUUGUUUGUAGGUUGUAUAUUUACAAUUUUAUUGUAUGAUGAUAGGCUUUAAUGAACAAUACAUAAUAUUUCUUUCAUGAUGAUGUACUUUUCAUACUUGUUAAUAAUAUUUGAGUUGCAUCUGAUAGCUAUGUGCUUUUAUAAUAAAUA